CUUAAUUUGAAAAAGCUAUAAUUGCCCAGGGAUUUCUUUGUUCAGGGUCCCUCUUCGGAGGCACCCAACUCGAGCUGUAACUACUGCACGCGUGUCAUUACAAUUUAUUUAUUUAAUUUGCCUUGAUAUGGCUCCUAGCUUUUCAGUGGGAACCUAGGGUUGGACCCUGCUCGAGUUGUAAUUACUGCACACGCAUCACUAAAAUUUACACCCAUGGUGAAGAGGACCAACAGGACGCCGCUGGAUCCAUGGGUUGUCUGGGAGAAACAGAAACAACUCAGCAUGCUAGAGGGAGAAAAACAUCCAGAUGACAAGAUUGGAGCAGGGUGGAGAGAGUAAGAGAACAUACCUAAGCUUAGCAGAAGAAGGUGUGCAGCUCAACAAAGAAAAAAGGUCAAAGUGUCAGAAGGGAAAAUAUUUCCUAGGAAAUAGAAGGGACACAAAAAAAGAAACUUUGUUGCCAGGAUGAAAUCAAGUUUAGAGCAAAAGACCAGCCUACAAGGACACAAGAGACAAGAGGAGAUUUGUUUUAUCUCCCUUUUGUUUAUUCUUGCCUCCUCCCUCCGACUCAGAGUUUCCUCUGCUUUCUUAGGAAUACGGUCAAGCAUUGGCUCUUGUAUGCACUACAGAUCUCACCACUUACUCUGUCCCUCACUGUUCUUCAGCUGGCUGAAUGAACCAAGGUCCCUUCCAGCAAGCUGACGCAAAAGAUAUAAAAAGAAGACAGCCUGUGAGGAAUUAAAAUACAUAUUGUGGAGACGUACAAUUGUGGGGACAACCCCAGGAAGACCUGGGAAAUUAAUUGACUAUGUAACUGCACCAACACAGCCCUUAAGAUAUCCCUGUGUAUGAGCCACCUAAACAUCAUAGAACCACAGUGUGUGAAUACAGACAAGAACAUCUGAGUGUCUUCUCCUGAUGUAAGUAGAGGCCAUGACAGACCUCAUACUAGAGAAAGGUAACAAUAACAGGAAGAGGCAGUCUGGGCAGUAGCUAUGCAUACUAUUAGAUGGUUUGGAUGAGCUAAAGAAAUACAGAUUUUAAUACAUCUUAAUUCAGUAAUUUGUACUGCUCAACUAAUGAAGCCCACUGAGCAAAUUGUGUUUAUUUGUUUUGGCUUUUCCUUUAAAGAAGCUUCCAAAUAUAAUUCUCUGUUGUCAGAAGAUACAAGUUCUAAAUAAUUUGGUCUUAACCCCACCAGAUGGCAUUGUUGAGAGGCUUAAUUUAAUUCUGACAGCAUAACAUCUUGUUAAAUUAUGGUGACAAUUAAAAAGGGAGUGAAGGAGAGUGAGAAAGAUGAGACUCAUUAUUAUUCUUGUGAAUUAGUAAAGCCAAUCAAUAAACAAUCUUAUUACAGUAUAAAAGUUAGACUCUUCAAAGAACUUUUUGUAGUUUAAAGGAAAGUUCAGUUAUAGAUUCUUAAUACUUGCACACUCUGAAAUACUUCCUUCCAGUGCCUGUCUUGCACUGUGAAAGAAACAAAAAAAGAAUGACUUAAGUGAAAAUUCUAUUUAAAUGUACCGAUUUCAGGUAAGCUGAUGAAAAUGGUUAUUAUUCUAUGCAAAAAAAUGAUGCGAAGUAAUUUUGCACUAUGCAAAAUACAAGUUUGGUAGAUUUCAGAAACUUAAAAGUAAAGAAGUUUUUGAAAAUGUUCAAUUUUCUUUAAUAUAUAGAUAACACAAAUGCCUUCCAUUAAAAUGUCAGAAGGUAAUAGUAGAUUUUAUAGAAAAUCUUGAACUCCAACUUUUGUUCGUGUCAUAAAUCAUGUUCCUGUUCUUGAAGAUAUUACAACAAACCACAUCCUCUAGAACAUUAGUUUUUUUGUCAGUUUUCUGGUGAUGAUAAAUUCUCUGCCCAGUGUAUAUAUUUUCCUGAAAAUCCGAAUUAACUUAGCAGACUUAUUUUUCAAUUAAGCAAGCAUAACUUGUUUCCAUUGAUUAAGUGUAGAACUUUUGAUUGAUAAACACAUGCAAAUUUAGAAAAUAUCAAAACACAUAAUUAGUAUAUUUUCUAAUCUAUAUUCUCCUUUUAACAUUAAUAUUAAUUAUGUAUUCAUGGCUGUUUAUUAUGAUAGUGCUUAAUGUUGCCUCACAAAAAUGGUAAGGAACAGCUGAAAUGAAAUGCUAGAAAGUUGUCUAUCUUCAACAGUUUGUCAUCUGCAGUUAGGAAAUAUACAUAUCGUGUCACGGCCCGAAGGGAGUCGUUCAGGACGACCUCCCUCCCCUUGGGACCAACGACCAAGUUCGUGAUGCCCUUGGACCGAAUUAAGGUGAAACGACAUCAGCCAAACAGUUUUAAGAUUUAUUAACACAAAGAUAAGGAAUGUGGUCAAAUAGGAUAACCAACUAGCUAGACAAGUCCCGUGCCACACGUUUCAAACAGAUUCAACAAAGGAGAGGGAAGAAGAGAGGAGAGAGAGAAAAGAUAUCACCACCCGUGGAUACAGCGUUGUCCCGUUGGUCCUCUUCCUUUGGGAGUCUCAGCAGUGGGGGGGGGGGCUUCCGUCUGGUGGUAGGUGGGUCCUCUUCACAUGGCUCGAGUUGGGUACCUCCGAAGAGGGACCCCGAACAAAGAAAUACCUGGACAAUUAUACCUUCCAAUCUAAGCUCUCCACCCCUCACGCGGUACUUUGGACCAAUAGUAAUUUUCUGGGUCUGGGGUCUCCUGCUCCUUAUUGGAUCUCAUCGUUGUUCCUAGGCAGGCUGUUUUCUGCUGCAGUUUCUUCUACAGAUGUGUCUACAUUCCUCGGGUUCUGCUAUUGUCUCUCAAGGCCCUGACAAAGAGGUGGUAACUCCAGCAAUUAGCACUGUUUCAGAUGCAAAUUGCUGGUAACUCCCUUAUCAUUCCCGCCUGCACCAGCUCUGGGGCCCUUUCUCACUGUACUAGGGAGUGUGGCCUAAGGCUUCAGCAAAUUUAGCCACUCAUGCCAAGCAAGUUUUAUAGAAGUUGCGCUAAAAACGGCCAAUAAUCUACAGUCCAGAUCCCAAAGUCUCUGCCCGAUUGUGGUCUUGUUCAGUGCAGGCUCGGUGUGUCCCGGGUGGUCGCAGGAGACCAUCUCGGGGGUCGCAGCAGCCCAGUCCUGUUUCUGCCAGGGACAGAUGGCUUGUUUGUGGUUAUGGCCUGCCUGCACCCCAUGUACCAAGAAAUGUUUAAGGCAAAAAGAUUCAUUCAUCGAUCCACCACAUAUGGCAGAUAAAAGCAGAUGGAUGGAAUGGAGACAUAGAGAGGAGUAUACCCUUCUUGAAUGGAAAGCAGAGUAGUCUCAGGCUGUGUCUAUAUUAACAAUUAAUUUAGUACAGCAGAAGCAGAUCAACAAAGUUUGAUAUGGGGCCCCUCUGUCUUCAGUACAUGUGAUUUGGGGCUUUUACUUUGGAUUAGUUCUGCUCCCCAGUCUGAAAGGUUCAAAGUUGUCCAAAGAACCGGUUACUGGAUCUGCCCCGAUGCCCUAAUUUGGGCUGGAGCACAGAUCUCUCUUCAACUUCAUCUCAAAGGGAUCUAGCUUAUACGCCCUAUCACAGUGAGAGAGAAUGAUCUGGGAACUUCCCUUAAAAUCACACUUCUCUGAACCAGAGUGCUGACACAGACACAGCUUCAGUAUUCAUAUGCACAGUUUAACCAUAGCUCUUCAUCUAUGUAUAUUCUUAAAGAAACUACCAUACCAAAUCUAGUCACUGGUAUCUCUAACUACCAGUGUUAAAACAUUGUCAUAAAUCAUCCAGCAUCCAGCAUCAAAUGACUUCAUUGACAAAGAGACAACAAAGAAGAGAACUAUUAGUUUUAUGUGUUUAGAUGCAGUGGACAUGUCAAAUAUAAAACUCUCUUGUAUGCAAAUUAAAAAUGCCAUACUAUCUAUUUUAAGUGAAAGUGGUAUUUUCAGAACUUUUCAG